rnacentral:rRNA from 1 species
AAGCGUUGUUCGGAUUCAUUGGGCGUAAAGGGUGCGUAGGCGGCGUGGUAAGUCGGAUGUGAAAUCUCGGAGCUUAACUCCGAAACUGCAUUAGAUACUGCCGUGCUUGAGGACUGGAGAGGAGACUGGAAUUUACGGUGUAGCGGUGAAAUGCGUAGAUAUCGUAAGGAAGACCAGUGGCGAAGGCGGGUCUCUGGACAGUUCCUGACGCUGAGGCACGAAGGCCAGGGGAGCAAACGGG